rnacentral:lncRNA from 1 species
GAACUUUGACCUUUGCAACGGCACAUUCGGUGUCCCCUCUUUGAAAGGAGGGAUGGAGCAGAGCGUUCUCUGCACUCCCAUCGAAACCACAGGCUCCAGCUCUCUGUGCUACCUGUGGCUAUAUAGCCUGCUCACAGGAUCUAGGUCCCGUGACACUGGAUGUGACCAACUGCCAACAGAGAGAAGAAAGACAGAAGCAGCUGCUUAAAAGCCAAGCCCGGGGUUUGGAAGUUGUCUCUAAGAUGGCAACAGGCUCUUGGGAUCAGACAAAUCAGCUCCUUUGGAGAAAAAAGCCUUCUGCUCAGACACGGCAGGGAUAAAAUACCGAGGAGGAACUUCAUAGCUCAGAGCACAAGUGUGACUAUUUCCCCACCAGCCCAACCCACUGCUCAAGGAACCACGGGAGGCCUGACCUCGGUGCAAGGCCACAUGGAAAAGCUGGCAAAACAGCCUGCCAUCGGCAGAGCACAGGAAGCGGUUUGCUCUGUGGCUACACCACCCAUGUGUUACACAAUGUGAUACGACGGGGGAGAAGUGGCCUUUCUUCCUCUUCCAAAUUAAAAUAGCCUUUCCUUAACGAAUUAA